rnacentral:rRNA from 1 species
AGUCGACGGAAGGCCCUUCGGGNNNNUCGAGUGGCGAACGGGUGAGUAACACGUGGGUGAUCUGCCCUGCACUUUGGGAUAAGCCUGGGAAACUGGGUCUAAUACCGAAUAGGACCACGCGCUUCAUGGUGUGUGGUGGAAAGCUUUUGCGGUGUGGGAUGGGCCCGCGGCCUAUCAGCUUGUUGGUGGGGUAAUGGCCUACCAAGGCGACGACGGGUAGCCGGCCUGAGAGGGUGACCGGCCACACUGGGACUGAGAUACGGCCCAGACUCCUACGGGAGGCAGCAGUGGGGAAUAUUGCACAAUGGGCGCAAGCCUGAUGCAGCGACGCCGCGUGAGGGAUGACGGCCUUCGGGUUGUAAACCUCUUUCAAUAGGGACGAAGCGCAAGUGACGGUACCUAUAGAAGAAGCACCGGCCAACUACGUGCCAGCAGCCGCGGUAAUACGUAGGGUGCGAGCGUUGUCCGGAAUUACUGGGCGUAAAGAGCUCGUAGGUGGUUUGUCGCGUUGUUCGUGAAAACUCACAGCUUAACUGUGGGCGUGCGGGCGAUACGGGCAGACUAGAGUACUGCAGGGGAGACUGGAAUUCCUGGUGUAGCGGUGGAAUGCGCAGAUAUCAGGAGGAACACCGGUGGCGAAGGCGGGUCUCUGGGCAGUANNNGACGCUGAGGAGCGAAAGCGCGGGGAGCGAACAGGAUUAGAUACCCUGGUAGUCCACGCCGUANACGGUGGGUACUAGGUGUNNNUUCCUUCCUUGGGAUCCGUGCCGUAGCUAACGCAUUAAGUACCCCGCCUGGGGAGUACGGCCGCAAGGCUAAAACUCAAAGGAAUUGACGGGGGCCCGCACAAGCGGC